AUUGAACGCUGGCGGCAGGCUUAACACAUGCAAGUCGAGCGAGCGGCGGAAGGGUGAGUACUGUCUGGGAAACUGCCUGAUGGAGGGGGAUAACUACUGGAAACGGUAGCUAAUACCGCAUACCAUCAGAUGUGCCCAGAUGGGAUUAGCUAGUAGGUGGGGUAAUGGCUCACCUAGGCGACGAUCGCUAGCUGGUAUGAGAGGAUGACCAGCCACAAUGGAACGUAGACACGGGCCAGACGCGUGCGAGAGGCAGCAGGUGUGAAGGUUGCACAGUGGGCGAAAGCCUGAUGCAGCCAUGCCGCGUGUGUGAAGAAGGCAUUCGGGUUGUAAAGCACUUUCAGCGAGGAGGCGUUACUCGCAUAAGAAGCACCGGCUGACGCCGUGCCAGCAGCCGCGGUAAUUC
rnacentral:rRNA from 1 species